AAAAGUGAAGUUCAAAGUGGUCGGACGUUCGCAAAAAUUCACUAAAUUUAAUUAUUUAAAAUGCAUUUUAAAGUUGAAGAUCGAAUAACCCUUUUUUGUCUAUUUUGUGAACGUCUUUUUCAUGUUUAGUUAAAGUUUUAGUUGUGAUCCCACGAAAUCCCACAAAUAGUAUGUAUGUUAAUGUGUUCGUCUAACUUUUGGGGUACUGUAUGCCUAAAAUCAGCUGCAGUCAUUUGCAGUUGUUAAUAUAAUCGGAAAAAUACUGAUGCCAUCUAGCGUUUGCCAAGGGAAAGUUUUUCCUUAUUGUGCUGUUGUUUUGUUCUCGUCGCUCGUGUUUGAGAUUCCCAUAAGUGUGCAUUUACACGACUAUAUAUUUUUGAUCUUUGGUGUGCAGAAGGUGGCACCAACGCUGAAAGAUUAAAAAAAAAAUUGUUGAAUUUAUGCAAGAGCAAAUUGAAAACAACGGUUACAUUCCCGAGCUAAGCCAACUACCAAAACGAAUUGAUUGCAUAUGCAAAAGAAUUGCUACUUUUUGGGAUAGAUACAAACGGAAGAAAACUGCAAUUAUGCAAUAUCAAUC